rnacentral:rRNA from 1 species
CGAAAAUAUAGGUGAGAAUCCUAUACCCCGAAAACCCAAGGUUUCCUCCGGAAGGCUCGUCCGCGGAGGGUAAGUCAGGACCUAAGGCGAGGCUGAAAAGCGUAGUCGAUGGAUAACGGGUUAAUAUUCCCGUACCAUUUUUUACUGAUAUCGAGGGACGGAGAAGGCUAAGCUAGCCGGAUAUUGGUUACCGGUUUAAGCGUUCGAGGUGUUGAGAAACGGAGAAAACGUUUUGAGCUGAGACGUGAAUACGAGACGCUAAGGCGUCGAAGUAGUGUAUGUCAGACUUCCAAGAAAAGCUCGCACUGUCAUAGGUAAAAAAUGCCUGUACCAUAACCGACACAGGUGGGUAGGUAGAGUAUACUAAGGGGCGCGAGAUAACUCUCUCUAAGGAACUCGGCAAAAUAACUCCGUAACUUCGGGAGAAGGAGUGCCUUAUUUAAUAAGGUUGCAAUAACAAGAUCCAAGCAACUGUUUACCAAAAACACAGGUCUCCGCUAAGUCGUAAGACGAUGUAUGGGGGCUGACGCCUGCCCAGUGCCAGAAGGUUAAAGAAGUUGGUUAGCAUUAGCGAAGCUGAUAACUGAAGCCCUGGUGAACGGCGGCCGUAACAAUAACGGUCCUAAGGUAGCGAAAUUCCUUGUCGGGUAAGUUCCGACCUGCACGAAUGGUGUAACCAUGGCCACGCUGUCUCCACCCGAGACUCAGUGAAAUUGAAAUCGCAGUGAAGAUGCUGUGUACCCGCACCUAGACGGAAAGACCCCGUGAACCUUUACUACAGCUUGGCACUGAACAUUGAACCUACAUGUGUAGGAUAGGUGGGAGGCUUUGAAGCAGCGGCGCCAGUCGUUGUGGAGCCAUCCUUGAAAUACCACCCUUAUCUUCGUGGAUGUCUAACUGCGGUCCGUUAUCCGGAUCCAGGACAGUGUGUGGUGGGUAGUUUGACUGGGGUGGUC